ensembl:lncRNA
GGUAAAUAACGUCUGAAAAAAAACGGCCCCAGGAGAACAUUUAUGGUCACCUUUGGCUCCUGAACGUCCCGGUCACGUCAAUAAGAGCACAGCUCCUCCACCUCGGUGACACGGACUGAAACACUGAGCUGGGUCCCGCUAAGCCUCUGUCUGAGAGGAAUGGGCAGGGCAUGAAGGGACAUGCAGGCAGAGAAGGGCCCAGGGACCUGUGCUGGCUGAGGAACCAGGCAGUUGCUCACAUAACCACUGCAGCCCCCCCCCCCCCCCGCCCAUUGCUUAGGGGACCAACACUGGUUAACGGAAGAGGGCGACCAUAUAUCAGUCAUGGCUUCAUCCCAGGUCCCCACAUGCUCGUGCUGAGAUGGAGGCAGUGUGAGGGUGCCCACAUCCUCACCUCAGUGGCGGAUCGAAGUGGGCUUGUGUGUGUGGGACUCCCAGUUCCCUCUCCGCGUGUUGCGAUAUGAACCCCAGUAUGUGCCGUUGUGCGUCCUCCCCCGCCCCUCCUCUCCUCGGCCGAAGCCAGGUCUGUUCGUCGCUAAUGGAGCUGCACCACUCAGGCCUCGAGAGGAGGAGGCAGCCAGCCUGGAAAUGGCGGGCAUAAAUCAUGCAUUCCUGCGCUCGCUUACGCAGCCCCCCCCCCCCCCCCCCUUGUUAAAAAUGCAUGCCGCUGAGUACGGCCCUCUUACGGGAUGAACGCUUUCCAGCCGAGAGAACAGGAGCACAGCUGAGAAAGCCAGGCGUGGGGCGGGGCUUCCAUUAAACUGUUCCUGCCGCUGUUGCUAAUGAAUGAAUUUCUGCCCACCUUGACAUAUUGGCUUCACAAGUCAUAAAUGGCACUGAUCCCAUCCUUCAUCUAUUCCCACUCUGACAGUAAUUGACAGCGCAGCUCGUUGGCAAUAUGUUAUUUUAUCCCAGUGUUUCAAUGAACCAGGUCCUGAGUCAUUUAUGCGCGCUGCGAGCCGAGUGAGUGGUCUUCAACUCUUAUGCAGGCUCUCCUAAUGGGAGCCCCUUCGGCCACCAUUACUGCUGCACAAACAAUGACGUGCGGCUACAGUAAAACAACGGCAAUAUAAAGUUCGACCACCCCCCCCACCCCCCCCGUGUUUGCAAGGCAGGUCUCCUCAUAGUCAUAUAGGUGGUCAUGUCCGCUGGCCACUGAUUGGGUCGGGAGUUGAACAAAUGGUCACUGGAGUCAUAGCGGACCACAGAGCUGUUUGUCUAUGUCACUGUAAGAACGUAGAUCCCACUGGCUCUUUCGGGUUAUCUUUUUAAAUAUGCUUUUUCAGACAUUUAUGCUAGAUUGAGACAGUGGGGAAAGACGGGAGAGUCGGACGGUUUCCAAUCUAUGAUGCAGCAGUACAUGAGCACUGGAGGCAGUGGAUUAGACCACUGGACCAGCCAAGGCCACAAUGAUUCAUGUUAUUAAUUGUGGAUUCACACAUGCUGUGUGACACAGAAAUACAGACAUAGAAAUGUGCUCUAGACAUUAGAUACAAGCUUGGCUUACAAAAUCACAGUGAUCAGAGACGGAGUAAUGAUUGUGAAUCAGUUCUGGGUGUAGUCGUUGUUAUUAUCCAUGAUUCUUUAAAUGACUAGAGAGUGAAAAUGCGGCUGAAUACAGAUCCCUCUAAGAUUUGGGACACUUUUGUUCCUGAAGAUUCGCAUAAUGGCAUUUAAGCAUGGCUGGAGAAGACACAAAGGGAAAGCUGGCAGUUAUCUCUUUUGCUGCUUUGUGCGGAAAAAAUCUAUACAAACCUAAAUUUCUUUGUCUGAUGGAAAUGACUGGAUAUCACAAAUAAAGCGCUGUUUCCAGUAAGCUUUG